rnacentral:rRNA from 1 species
UACGUAGGUGACAAGCGUUGUCCGGAUUUACUGGGCGUAAAGAGCGCGCAGGCGGUCGAUCAAGUCGAGUGUGAAAGCCCCCGGCUCAACUGGGGAGGGUCAUUCGAUACUGAUCGACUCGAAGGCAGGAGAGGGUGGUGGAAUUGCCGGUGUAGUGGUGAAAUGCGUAGAGAUCGGCAGGAACACCAAGGGGGAAGCCAGCCACCUGGGCAUGGACUGACACUCAAGUGCGAAAGCGUGGGGAGCGAACUGG